rnacentral:lncRNA from 1 species
ACCACUCAUUUUCUUUAAAUUGUGACUUGAGUAUUUUAAAUUAAAUGCAUAUGGAAUAUUUUGAAAAAAUCAGAAAACUGUGAUUACUGAUCUCAGUGUGAUAUGUGCAUGCAACCCAGUCUUCACUCAGCAAACACCAAGCCUGUGUUCCACAGGGUUUGUUGGCCAGGCACUCUGCUGGGCAGCUGGGGAGCAGGCAUGAGUAGAGCAAGGUCUCAUGCAGACAGACAGACAGCAGCACAGGACAGUGAUGCUAUAGCAGAGGUGUGUACAAAGAGGAGGAAACAAUAAAUUCUCUUUUAUGUGUGAUUAAGGGAGGCUUCACUAAGGAAAUGAUACUGGGGCAAGACCUGGAAAGUUGAGAAAUGUUCUCAAAGGAAGCAACACAGUAUUCAGUGUCACAGGAGAAUCAGAAUAGGAUGCCUUUGGAGCAUACUUUGUUUGCUGUGACUGAAGCACAGGGCAAACUCAUCAUUUAAGGUCCAAAAGGAGAAAGGAUUGGAUAGAGAUAGAGUCAGUAAUGUAGAUCAAGAUCAGAAUUUGGAAGGUGAUCAUUAGGAAUCAGGUUCUGAUCCUGGCAGUGAGAAGACAUUAGAGGCUUUUACAAAAUGGGAUGAUCUUAGAGAGUUUUGUGGUAGCAAGAAAGACGGGAGGGGAAAGAUUGCUUGAGGCUAUUGAAUCUCACCAAACAAUAGUAAAUGGAAGCCUGAGUUGUGGCAGUGAGAUUGGAGAGCAGGGAAUGGCUCAGGAGGAUGCAGGAGAACCUUCAGCCUGAAGACAGGCUGCUAAGGAGCAGUG